CCGCAGUGAAAACAGGUAUCCUGUCUGGAGACUUUCUUCCCCUUUUUCUUCAUCUUGCCACCCUUAGGGUUUAGUGCUUUCUUCGAACCCUUAAAGCCUGACUUCUUCUUAGAGGUUUUAUCCACAAGAAGUAAUGGAGCCUUCUCCUUCUUUAUGUGGCUCUCAGCUGUCUUAAGCAUGUUCAACAGCUCAGGCAAAAAGGUAUUCAAUUUGUUCAUGUGAUAAUUCAUGACAAACUG
rnacentral:lncRNA from 1 species